AGAGUUUGAUCAUGGCUCAGGACGAACGCUGGCGGCGCGCCUAACACAUGCAAGUCGAACGAGCGAGAGGAGGUUUACUUUCUCAAGCGAGUGGCGAACGGGUGAGUAACGCGUGAGGAACCUGCCUCAAAGAGGGGGACAACAGUUGGAAACGACUGCUAAUACCGCAUAAGCCCGCGACCCGGCAUCGGGUAGAGGGAAAAGGAGCAAUCCGCUUUGAGAUGGCCUCGCGUCCGAUUAGCUGGUUGGUGAGGUAACGGCCACCAAGGCGACGAUCGGUAGCCGGACUGAGAGGUUGAACGGCCACAUUGGGACUGAGACACGGCCCAGACUGCUACGGGAGGGA
rnacentral:rRNA from 1 species